AAGCCGCCUCAGCCGCCUCAAGCCGCCUCAGCCGCCUCAGCCGCCUCAAGCCGCCUCAGCCGCCUCAGCGCGCAGCUGAUUUCACUGCGCGGCCCACGUGGAAUUCGCCACAGGACUUCUGUUGGAUAUUUUCCUGCCUAUGCUUUUGGGCUACGGACAUUAGGACUAGUCCAGUGAAUCUUGGUAGACUUUUUGCACCAGGACAUAGCAUUAAGAGAGAAGGUGCACACUGUGGAUUUCCAUGCUCAAGUCCCUGAUUUAAAAAACAGUUGUGUCCAGCAAUCCUGGUAUCUGUAUUCUCCCAUGCUACAAUGGGAAAAGAAGAUAUUGCAUCUGAGCAACGAGACGGA